rnacentral:tRNA from 1 species
GUCGGAGUGGCGGAAUUGGUAGACGCGCCAGGUUGAGGGCCUGGUGGAGCAUGGCUCUGUGGGGGUUCGAGUCCCCCCUCCGACA